UUUUUUUAAGGAAGAACUAUUUUAAUUUUCUAUUAAACAUUCUUUCAAAAGCAUUAUUUUAUCUUACUGAAUUAUAAGAAAUACAUUAGUAUUAGAAAAACUAGGAAGGAAAAUCAAAUGUGAAAAAUUAAACUUAUAUGAGAAAGAAAAAUUAUAAUAAAGGACUGAGAACUUUACAAAUUUAAUUAAAUUAAUGUAAUAUAACUUGAAAACUGUGCAUCUCAAAGCAAAGUGUUUAUUCAAGUUUUAACAACAGCACUUUAUAAUUUGAAUACACUGAUUUUUUUCAGGAAGGAAAUCCAUUUAAAAA